rnacentral:piRNA from 1 species
UUAUAAGGAUGAUGAUACCGACUAAA